UUAGUGGCGGACGGGUUAGUAACGCGUGGGAACGUGCCUUUCACUACGGAAUAGUCCCGGGAAACUGGGUUUAAUACCGUAUACGCCCUUCGGGGGAAAGAAUUUCGGUGAAAGAUCGGCCCGCGUUAGAUUAGAUAGUUGGUGGGGUAAUGGCCUACCAAGUCUACGAUCUAUAGCUGGUUUUAGAGGAUGAUCAGCAACACUGGGACUGAGACACGGCCCAGACUCCUACGGGAGGCAGCAGUGGGGAAUCUUGGACAAUGGGCGCAAGCCUGAUCCAGCCAUGCCGCGUGAGUGAUGAAGGCCUUAGGGUCGUAAAGCUCUUUCAACGGUGAAGAUAAUGACGGUAGCCGUAGAAGAAACCCCGGCUAACUCCGUGCCAGCAGCCGCGGUAAUACGGAGGGGGUUAGCGUUGUUCGGAAUUACUGGGCGUAAAGCGCGCGUAGGCGGAUUGGAAAGUAUGGGGUGAAAUCCCAGGGCUCAACCCUGGAACUGCCUCAUAAACUCCCAGUCUUGAGUUCGAGAGAGGUGAGUGGAACUCCGAGUGUAGAGGUGAAAUUCGUAGAUAUUCGGAAGAACACCAGUGGCGAAGGCGGCUCACUGGCUCGAUACUGACGCUGAGGUGCGAAAGUGUGGGGAGCAAACAGGAUUAGAUACCCUGGUAGUCCACACCGUAAACGAUGAAUGCCAGUCGUCGGGU
rnacentral:rRNA from 1 species